AGGCAUUGGGUGGGACCAAGGUUUACUUCUGGACUCCACCCACCAUCCCAUCGGCCCCUGUCCAACACAAGGGGGAAGUCAGGAAAUACUUGUGGAUAAACACAUGACAACCCAAAGACACAAACAUAAAAUUACUUCUGGGCAAACAGCGCUUCUGGUUCUUUGUCAGUGACUGGCUACUAAGGACAAGAUUAGGAAAUCAGGAAUUUCCCUAGCAUCACACUCUAGAAGUCCUUGUUUAGAUCUGCCUUUUCCCCACAAAAGACCCGGGGCUUCUGUUCCACCCUUAGGCAAUGAGAUACAGUGUGAAAUCAACUUGAAAGGAGGUAGCUAGCUGGGAAGAUUCCUUUAAGUAACUGGGGCUUACCUCUGUCUUGUCUCCCAGGAUAAGAGAGAAGCCAGAACCACCUAUCUCAGUCCCUUGCAGGUGCCACAGUUCACAGUUCUGGGAAAAACUGACUCUAAGACUCAAGAAGUUUCUGGCACUACUGGGCUGCGGACUAACACCCACAUGAAUGAUGCUGUGAGGUACAGCAGAGCUGGCAGAUCCAACAGAGUCUAUGCUAUUUAGCGUGAAAUCCAGCCCCAUCACAGAGGGAGAAGUUAAGUACAUUCUGCCAGAUGAGCAACGGAGAAUUACGAUGAUCCCUAUAAGGAAGAGGGUAUUGAAAAUGCUUCCUGAGGACAAGAGUAUGCCGGAUAUCCUAUAUACAUUUCAGGGGAAGGGAAACAGCCUUUUGAGAUCACUUAUACUCUGUGGAAGGAGGAUGGAAAAUGUCCAGCCUGAGAAGGAAAAACUGAAGGGUCAAGUCCAGGCUCCUCAGACUGGCCUACGAGGUCCUUCGUGAUUGAGUUCCUACCUCUGCAGCCUCCCUUCCAGUCACACCUGCCUGGUCUUGAACUGAUACUCUGGUCAUUGUCCUAGCUCUUUGAAGGCUGUGCUGACUCGUGUCUCUGUGGCUUUGGCCAUGGUCUUCCUUCUGUCUAUAAUGCCCACCUUUACCUUGACCAUGCGGUUAAUCUCUACUCACCCUCAAAAUUCAGCUCAACUGAAGUCUCCCCGCCUUCCCAAGAAAAAAUGACCUUCCAGGGGCGCCUGGGUAGCUCAGCUGGUUGAGUGCCCGACUCUUGAUUUAGGUCAUGAUCUCACAGUUCGUGGGAUCGAGCCCCAUGUCAGGCUC